GGGGCUGAAAUGGCUUCGACAGGAGCCGUAUCGCUUGGGUUGCAUGCCAGCUGCACGCUGUAAAACUGCACAGAAAAUAAACGCAAACAAUACAAAUUACGCUCCAGCUUACGCAAAAGUCGCGUGAGUUUAACUUACUCUUAGGAGCUGGUCUUUCCGAAUGAUGCUAGCUCAUCGGUUUGAUCAUCAUCACGCUAGAUGCCUCUAUAAAACACCUUGUUUAUAGGGAAAGAUUUUGGUUGCUCGCUUAUAAUGCUUUGGGGAUUGAGCGUUUAAGUGAAAAGAUUUUUCAAUCCUAUCUAAGCAUGUAGAUGCUCUUGUUGGGUAUGGUUUUUGGACUGGGGUUCAAUUCCCCACAGCUCCACCA
rnacentral:tmRNA from 1 species